AGAGAGAGACAUGCGCGCAUAUCAAUAAGCGGAGGAAAAGAAACUAACAAGGAUUCCCCUAGUAACGGCGAGUGAAGCGGGAAGAGCUCAAAUUUGAAAUCUUAAAGGGUUUCCCUUUACGAAUUGUAGUUUAAAGAAGUGUUUUCUGUUGAGGUUUUGGUAAAAGUUCUUUGGAAUAGGACAUCAUAGAGGGUGAGAAUCCCGUAUUUGACCUUUACUUUCAACUUUGUGAUACACUUUCAAAGAGUCGGAUUGUUUGGGAAUGCAGUCCGAGAUGGGUGGUAAAUUUCAUCUAAAGCUAAAUAUUGGCGAGAGACCGAUAGCGAACAAGUACCGUGAGGGAAAGAUGAAAAGAACUUUGAAAAGAGAGUUAAACAGUACGUGAAAUUGUCAAAAGGGAAGCGUUUGACACCAGUGUUGUUUUUCUGAAAAUCAAUUAAAGAACUGUUUAUGCUAAGUUGUUUAGACUUUAUCAGCUAACUGUUUAGUUUUGAGCUUUUCUUUAAUGCACUUUUCAGUUAACAAGUCAACAUCAAUUUCUUUUGCUGUAAAAAAGCUUGAGGAAGGUGGCUUGAGAUUCGUCUUAAGUGUUUAUAGCCUCUUGCCUAUGCAGUCGGAGAGAUUGAGGUCUGCAGCGUAGAUCCUUCGGGGCUAAAUGCAUUUGUGCUAAGUUAUAGCAUUUUAUAGACAACUUGUUGACUAUGAUUUGUCUUGUAGCUUACUCGCUUAUGUUAUUUUACCUACGCUUAGGAUGUUGACGCAUGAGAUAUACGC
rnacentral:rRNA from 1 species